UACGAAGGGGGCUAGCGUUGCUCGGAAUUACUGGGCGUAAAGGGCGCGUAGGCGGAUAGUUUAGUCAGAGGUAAAAGCCCAGGGCUCAACCUUGGAACUGCCUUUGAUACUGGCUAUCUUGAGUUCGGGAGAGGUGAGUGGAAUGCCGAGUGUAGAGGUGAAAUUCGUAGAUAUUCGCAAGAACACCAGUGGCGAAGGCGGCUCACUGGCCCGGUACUGACGCUGAGGUGCGAAAGCGUGGGGAGCAAACAGG
rnacentral:rRNA from 1 species